rnacentral:rRNA from 1 species
UACGAAGGGGGCUAGCGUUGCUCGGAAUCACUGGGCGUAAAGGGCGUGUAGGCGGGGAAGGAAAGUCGGGCGUGAAAUCCCUGGGCUCAACCCAGGAACUGCACUCGAAACUUCUUUUCUUGAGUGCCGGAGAGGAAAGCGGAAUACCUGGUGUAGAGGUGAAAUUCGUAGAUAUCAGGUGGAACACCAGUGGCGAAGGCGGCUUUCUGGACG